rnacentral:rRNA from 1 species
GGACCUACGGGGGGCAGCAGUGGGGAAUCUUCCGCAAUGGGCGCAAGCCUGACGGAGCAAUGCCGCGUGAACGAAGAAGGUCUUCGGAUUGUAAAGUUCUGUCCUUAUCGAAGAGAGGGUAUAGAGUGAAAAAUGAUAUACUAGGACGGUAGAUGAGGAGGAAGCCCCGGCUAACUACGUGCCAGCAGCCGCGGUAAUACGUAGGGGGCGAGCGUUGUCCGGAAUCACUGGGCGUAAAGGGCGCGUAGGCGGUAAUAUAAGUCAGCUGUGAAAACUACGGGCUUAACUUGUAGACUGCAGUUGAA